CCUACGGGAGGCAGCAGUGAGGAAUAUUGGUCAAUGGACGAGAGUCUGAACCAGCCAAGUCGCGUGAAGGAUGACGGAUCUAUGGUUUGUAAACUUCUUUUAUAUGGGAAUAAAGUGAGGAACGUGUUCCUUUUUGUAUGUACCAUAUGAAUAAGCAUCGGCUAACUCCGUGCCAGCAGCCGCGGUAAUACGGAGGAUCCGAGCGUUAUCCGGAUUUAUUGGGUUUAAAGGGUGCGUAGGUGGUUUAUUAAGUCAGUUGUGAAAGUUUGUGGCUCAACCAUAAAAUUGCCGUUGAUACUGGUUGACUUGAGUAUAGUUGAGGUAGGCGGAAUGCGUGGUGUAGCGGUGAAAUGCAUAGAUAUCACGCAGAACUCCGAUUGCGAAGGCAGCUUACUAAACUAUAACUGACACUGAAGCACGAAAGCGUGGGGAUCAAACAGGAUUAGAUACCCCAGUAGUC
rnacentral:rRNA from 1 species